CAGUAGCCACGGGAAUACGGAGGGGGCUAGCGUUGUUCGGAAUUACUGGGCGUAAAGCGCACGUAGGCGGCUUUGUAAGUUAGAGGUGAAAGCCCGGAGCUCAACUCCGGAAUUGCCUUUAAGACUGCAGAGCUAGCAGGUGAGAGAGGUGAGUGGAAUUCCGAGUGUAGAGGUGAAAUUCGUGGAUAUUCGGAAGAACACCAGUGGCGAAGGCGGCUCACUGGCUCAUACUGGACGCUGAGGUGCGAAAGCGUGGGGAGCAAACAGGAUUAGAUACCCCUGUAGUCCCUGUCUCUUAUAC
rnacentral:rRNA from 1 species